ensembl:lncRNA
GGUGGGGGGGCUGCUUGUGUGUAUAUAGGAGCCCUCGUCCACAAACACGCUCCACACACGCUCCAGCGCUGGGGAGGGGGGUAUUUAUUUUUUUAGCCGCGCCAUUUUAAGUUCCCGACCCGGAGGGCAGACACUGCUCUCACCGCUCAACGUUUUAACACAAAGAAGAGAAAAAGUCUACAGAGAUGUGUACACACACACACACACACACACACACACACACACACACACACACACACACACGUCACAAGUGUCUGAAUGUCACCUAUUUAAAAGUUCUAUAUAUAUAAAUAUAUAUACGAAGAGAGAGAGAGAUGCUGACGGCGCCUCAUGCGGCUCUGGUCUGCACAGAGCUGAGUAUUUUGCCGAGGCGUUGUUUUAUUUAUAUUGCGUGGAGACGGCUCAGCCUCUAUAUCAAAGGUUUCAGCAAAAAAGACGUUUCAAUUAAAGACGUUUUGAGAAGACAUUUUUUUCCCUUUUUGUUUACGCCCGGGCGCGAAGAAGAGCGGCCAUCUUGAAGCGGUCGGCGUCUGUCGGUUUUUGCGUCCCGCCUCCACCGAUGGACAAUCAGAGACACCAGACUUAGAGACAACAGUCUCAUAGACACCAGACUCAGAGACACCAGACUCAGAGACACCAGUCUCAGAGACACCAGACUCAGAGACAACAGUCUCAGAGACAACAGACUCAGAGACAACAGUCUCAGAGACACCAGAUUCGGAGACACCAGACUCAGAGACACCAGUCUCAGACACCAGUCUCAGAGACACCAGACUCAGAGACACCAGACUCAGAGACACCAGACUCAGACACCAGACUCAGACACCAGACUCAGAGACACCAGACUCAGACACCAGACUCAGACACCAGACUCAGAGACACCAGACACAGAGACACCAGACUCAGAGACACCAGACUCAGAGACCAGACUCAGACACCAGACUCAGAGACACCAGACUCAGAGACACCAGACUCAGAGACACCAGACUUGGAGACAAGAGACACCAGACUCAGAGACAUCAGACUUAGAGACACAAGACUCAGAGACACCAAACUUACCGACAAGAGACACCAGACUCAGAGACAUCAGACUCAGAGACACCAGACUCAGAGACACCAGACUCAGAAACACCAGACUUAGAGACAAGAGACACCAGACUCAGAGACAUCAGACUCAAAGACAUCACCGAGAGACUCAGAGAUACCAGACUCAGAAACACCAGACUCAGAGAUACCAGACUUAGAGACGAGACACCAGAGACACCAGUCUUAGAGACACCAGACUCAGCACAAAGCAAUACGGAGGUCCACGAACGAUGUACAAAAUGUAAAAAAAGUGUAAUUUAUGUACACGAUUAAACAAGCAGAGUGGAUAUUAUAACUAUAGAGGUUAUCAAUAUUAAUAUUAGUAUUAUUAGGAUCAAUAUGCAAAAUGUUCAUAUUCCAUCUGUUUUAUAUCAUGUGAAAUAAAUGUUGACAUUCUUAAAA